AUACGGAAGGUCCGGGCGUUAUCCGGAUUUAUUGGGUUUAAAGGGAGCGCAGGCGGAGAUGCAAGCGUGACGUCAAAUUUCGGGGCUCAACCCCGUCUCGCGUCGCGAACUGCGUCCCUUGGUUGCGGGAAGGGGAGGCGGAACUCGUGGGGUAGCGGUGAAAUGCAUAGAUAUCACGAAGAACUCCGAUCGCGAAGGCAGCCUUCCGGCCCGUCAACGACGCUCAUGCUCGAAGGUGCGGGUAUCAAACAGGAUUAGAUACCCUGGUAGUCCGCACAGUAAACGAUGGACACCCGCGGUUUGGCCUAUAUGGCUGAGCCGCCAAGCGAAAGCGUUAAGUGUCCCACCUGGGGAGUACGCCGGCAACGGUGAAACUCAAAUGAAUUGACGGGG
rnacentral:rRNA from 1 species